UACGGAGGGUGCGAGCGUUGUCCGGAAUCACUGGGCGUAAAGGGCGCGUAGGCGGCUCACGCAAGCGUGCGGUGAAAGCCCGGGGCUCAACCCCGGGUCGGCCGUGCGGACUGCGGGGCUGGAGCACUGUAGGGGCAGAUGGAAUUCCGGGUGUAGCGGUGGAAUGCGUAGAGAUCCGGAAGAACACCGGUGGCGAAGGCGGUCUGCUGGGCAGUGGCUGGCGCUGAGGCGCGACAGCGUGGGGAGCAAACAGG
rnacentral:rRNA from 1 species